UACUAAUCGUAAGAAAGGUUAGUAUACAAUACAUUUCAGUAAGCUAAAAUUAAUUUUACUAUUAUGUGUAUAGAGAUCGUGUCUCUGUCCGGUCCUGCAUUUUAUUCUCGGGCUUAUACACAUAAACAAUUUUCUCAUAAUGUACAAAUACACAAAUAGUCACACACGCACACAUACAGACAUAUCAUAUGUCUAUAGUAUGCAGUACAUAUAUAUGUAUAUGUAUACGUAUCUUUGGCUGGUAUUUGUGCUGCACUAAUGUGUGGGUCCGUCUGGUACUUACCCAGGGACAUUACAGGAAGAAAAGAGUUUCGUCAUUUAGUUUCGAUGAGAGAGAAUAUGAGAGGACGUACCCCGGAGUUUCGGUAAAAAUUAACGAAAUAAGUUCGUUUUUUUUCAAGUUAUUAUCCCUGUCUGUGGAUAUUACAUAUAAUAUUUGGUUAAUAAAGUUCGCGCACACGGCAGAGUUUCAGGUUCGUGAGUGCUAUUUUUAAAUUUUGCUGUAUAGUACUACGAUAUCGCAAAGUGUUAUUUUAAAAUUCAGUUUCUGUGUUACUGUGGUCAUCAAUAACGUAACAUCAUAUUUAACUACCGUUUAUAAUUUUUUUUUUAUUUAAAUAUAUCGUUUAAUACAGAUAUGUAGGCCCAUCAUAAUGUGAUAUUGAACGAUUGUGGAGAAAUUUUGGUAAACUGAAAUUUUUAAAGUUAUGUAAAUAUGUCCCCAACUGCAGCAAUGGUCUCCCAACCGUCCUCAAUAUCUUCAUUAUUUGUUCCGAAACGUCAAAGUUUUUCAACAGGGUCGGUGACCUCGAUAUACUCUUCCUACCCCUCAUCUAACUGCUAUCAAUACCUGACGUUCGAUCAGAAUCAAAAAGCGACAGAACAACAGUCGAAGUUGUUAUCGUCACCUUGGGGACCGUUUCCUAAUACGUCGGCCGAAUAUUCUUACAAUCCAUUCUACAGCAGUACCACCUAUGCGGCUACCAAUAUAAGCGACUCCCUUAUAGACCCCCUUAGUGGUCAGUUGGCGGAGUUGACCCUUUUCGACAGGCGCAGUUUUAAAAGACCUCCACCGACUUAUUUGUGUCAUCUGUGCUUUCAAAAAGGACACUACAUCAAGGAUUGUCCUUUGGCUCGACCAAAAGGAGAAGGGAAAACCCCUUACCAGGGGAGAAAACGCUGUUUCGGGGAGUACAAAUGUCCGAAAUGUAAGAGAAAAUGGAUGUCGGGGAAUUCCUGGUCGAAUAUGGGCCAGGAAUGUAUAAAAUGUCACAUAAAUGUUUUUCCUCAUAAGCAGAGACCAUUGGAAAAACCCGAUGGUUUAGAUGUUUCCGACCAAUCCAAAGUCCACCCUCAACAUUUAUGCCAAAAAUGUAAGGAAUUAGGAUAUUAUUGUCGAAGGGUGCAGUGAAAUACUUUACCAAAAACGAACAUUUUUAUUUUUGUCUUUUCCUUUUUUAUUAUUAUUUUUUUAUAUCGUUGAAAGUAUCUACGUGUCUGAUUCAAGGUACAAGAUUUUUAAUAUAACGGUGUACCUACUUACAAUUAUAAUGAUACUUCUUAUAUAUCUCACAAGUGAUGAUAUUGUCAUGAAAAGUUGUUUUUUAUCACUGAAGUUUAUUUUUUGUU
rnacentral:misc_RNA from 1 species